GGGGACCAAGGGAAGGGGCUGGGGGGCACAGGGAACAUGGCCAGAUUCACUGGAUGAGUGUGACCUCUAUAGUUUCCUAAGCUACUAGUACUGGAAAAUAAGCACUGCCACUUCAUGGGCUCUGCCUGUGUGUGAUUGGCAGCGUAACACAAGGACUUGUUCUGGGUUGCAGGGCAGGAUGAGGAAACAGUGCUCUCUGGGGAGGUGGCUGGGAGGGUGAUGGCCAGGCUGGGUAGGGGGUGCAGUGUCCUGCAGGACUUGGGUGUGUACACACACACACACACACACACACACACACACACACACACUUACCUUUCCCUCCUCCCAGCACCUGGAUCUCUUUGGUUACUCUCUUAUUGUGUAAUUUGAGUUCUUGCCUUGGAAGAAGUCUUUCCCCUUUUGGAUCUCAAUUUCUCCAUGUGUAUAAACGGAUGAGUAGAUAUGAGCAAAAGUCAAACUUGUUUUUAUUAGUAUUAGUCAUUAGCAGUAUCUUAUUUAUGACUACAAAAUACAUUGUUGCACAUUUUUUUUUCAUCUUACCUGGAGGUGUCAGUGGAAGGUUUUCACAUAAUUGCCUUCAAUUACAGGAUGCAUCUUGAUUUCAGGGACUUCAACUUCGAGGAAAAGGUGUUUUAGAACAGAUGGAGUAGAGGUGUUAUUGUUGUGAUGUUAUCAUCUAACUUUCAGUGGGUCUUUACCACCUGGGAACAAUACCUAGGAGGCAGCAUAGCAUAUUACCUCCAUUGGCAAGUCACAGAAACCCCGUACCUCAGUUUUCCUCCUCUGUAAAGUGGAUGUGAUCAUAGUACACAGAUUUAAAUGAGUUAAUUAUACAACACUUAAAAACAUUGCCCCCGGCACAUAGAAUGCACUGGAUGAAUGUUAGCUUCUAUUAUUAUUUCCUGCCAGGCACUGUGUGAAGCCAGUUGCACACAGCUUUGGUUGAAUCCUUACGAGGUGCUUUUAUCUGCUUAUUUUACAAAGUGGGACACUGAGGUUCAGAAAGGUUACAUGUCACUGGUGGAGGCAGGACUCACACCAGAGGCCGCCCGAGCCCAAAGCUCACGCUAGGAUUAAUCACCAGAGUAAUUGGUCUAUGGAGACACGUCUAGACCUCUUUUUCCUCGUGUUUCUCCCUCUGUCCUCUCUCCUCCCACCUAGACCAUGUGUAUGCGCGUGUGCACGAGUGUGCAUAUCGACACACCACUCCACCUCAUUCCAUCCCACGGCAGGCCCCGGGGUCCUCUGAGGCAGGUGGCGGGCUUCAGGUUCUGGGGAAGGUUUUUGGGGACGGUUGCAGAGGAUGGAAGUUCCUGCCCAGUCUGCUCCUUAACCACACUGACUGAGCCCCAGGCUCCGAGUCAGGGCAGGCUCCUUGGGGGAGGUGAUGGGACUGGGGAUGUGGAUUCGGGAGGUAAAGUAGUGGAAGGCAGACAGCAGACUUCUCCUUACCAGGAGGACAGAGGCACAAAGGAAUUCACAGAAUGUUCAGAGAAUGGGCAACAGAGGCAAUGAGAGAGCAGAGGCAGGCAGGAGCUUUGAUUUUCAGGCCAAGGAGCUUAGGGUUUGUCUGGGAGGUGGUAGGGAGCUACAUAAGGACCUGGGAAGGUGGGUAUGUAAUGUGAUCUUUCCCACGGUUCCCGAGCCUGCUGCAGGGGAGGGUACAGGCCUGUCUCCUGCAUGACUGUGCCCUUGGGAUGCACAGCUCCAGCCUCUCGCCCCCUGCCUUCCUGAUAGAGAUACUUUUAUAUCCCGAGUCAUUCUGGCUUUCUGGUCCUGGCGUCUGAUUCCUCCUCCUUAAGCUAUCUGAGACACCCUCCCGCCCCCCCGUGAGCUCUGGAGCCUUGAAAUCCAGCAGCUGCUGAGGACUAGAGACCCCCAGGCCUUGCGAAAGUGUGGGAGGUUGUUAGGCAGGCAGUAUCUGGGGUAGGGAUGGGGGCUGCCAAUGGGGCAAGAGUGGGCAACACUCAGCCCUAGAGAUUGGCACCGUGCCCUAAAUUAUACUGACAGACAUUCUUUGGCAUAUUUCAAUCAGUAGUUCUCAAACAUUAGGCUGCACCAGAAUGGAGUGACUAACCAUCUGGGUUUGUGCUAAAACCAGGAAUGUCCCAGGAAAAGUGGGAUGAGUUGGCCACCCACCGUCCGAGUUGCAGAUUCAGCACAUCUCGGAUGGGGCAUGAGAAUGUGCAUUUCUACCAAGCUCCCAGAUGAUGCGGAUGCCUUCCAGGAGCUAUACUUUGAGAACUUCUGCUUGAAAUAUUUCUUGAAUCUGGGUCUCUAGGGUAGAGCCCAAAACCUGAGUUUUAAACAAGUUCUUCUUUGAUUCUGAUGCCCUUACGAGUUUGAGGCCCUGUACCUUGGGUUCACGAGUGGUUUCUUCCCUUUGAGUCCUCUACUAGCCUUAGUUAGCUGCAAGCACC